rnacentral:rRNA from 1 species
CCAAUAGCGUAUAUUAAAGUUGUUGCAGUUAAAAAGCUCGUAGUUGAAUUUCGGGGUCAAUAAGUUGGUCGUGCCAAUGGUAUGCACUGGCUUUAUUGAUUCCUACCUCUUGACGAACUGUGAUGCCAUUAAUUUGGUGUUGCAAGGAAUCAGGACUGUUACCUUGAAAAAAUUAGAGUGUUUAAAGCAGGCUUACGCCUGAAUACAUUAGCAUGGAAUAAUUAAAUAGGACGUUUGAACCUAUUUUGUUGGUUUCUAGGAUCGACGUAAUGAUUAAUAGGUAUAGUUGGGGGCAUUAGUAUUCAAUUGUCAGAGGUGAAAUUCUUGGAUUUAUUGAAGACUAACUACUGCGAAAGCAUUUGCCAAGGAUGUUUUCAUUAAUCAAGAACGAAAGUUAGGGGAUCGAAGACGGUCAGAUAACGUCGUAGUCUUAACCAUAAACUAUGCCGACUAGGGAUCGGAUGAUGUUAAUUUUUUAAUGACUCAUUCGGCGCCUUACG